rnacentral:rRNA from 1 species
AUUGAACGCUGGCGGCAUGCCUUACACAUGCAAGUCGAACGGCAGCACGGGAGCAAUCCUGGUGGCGAGUGGCGAACGGGUGAGUAAAGUAUCGGAACGUGCCCAGUCGUGGGGGAUAACGUAGCGAAAGUUACGCUAAUACCGCAUACGAUCUAUGGAUGAAAGCGGGGGAUCGCAAGACCUCGCGCGAUUGGAGCGGCCGAUAUCAGAUUAGGUAGUUGGUGGGGUAAAGGCUCACCAAGCCGACGAUCUGUAGCUGGUCUGAGAGGACGACCAGCCACACUGGGACUGAGACACGGCCCAGCCUCCUACGGGAGGCAGCAGUGGGGAAUUUUGGACAAUGGGCGCAAGCCUGAUCCAGCCAUGCCGCGUGCAGGAUGAAGGCCUUCGGGUUGUAAACUGCUUUUGUACGGAACGAAAAGGUUUGACUUAAUACGUUGGACUCAUGACGGUACCGUAAGUAUAAGCACCGGCUAACUACGUGCCAGCAGCCGCCGUAA